rnacentral:rRNA from 1 species
UACAGAGGGUGCAAGCGUUAAUCGGAAUUAUUGGGCGUAAAGGGCUUGUAGGCGGUUUAUUAAGUUAGGUGUGAAAACCCUGGGCUCAACCUGGGGCUGGCAUCUAAUACUGGUAAGCUAGAGUAUAGGAGAGGAGAAGGGAAUUUCUGGUGUAGCGGUGAAAUGCGUAGAGAUCAGAAGGAACAUCAGUGGCGAAGGCGCUUCUCUGGCCUAAUACUGACGCUGAGGAGCGAAGGCGUGGGGAUCAAACAGG